CCGGAAGCAGCAAGCGUGCCUGGGCAGAGACCCCCAGAGUGUAAAGAGGUCCUGGGACAGGCUUUGCACGUUCCACAAGAGGAGAAAAAGACCAAAGACCAAAGAGGCCAAAGACCUCAAGCAGGGCCUGUAGGACCCAAAGUAUUGGCAGGUGCCAGAGCCACUCCUCCCCACAUCCAGGUGAGCCCUGUGCCCUGGCACCAGGAUCUGCUGUCUUUGCUAAGUGGAAGGAUCUGGUAGUGCCAAAUAGUGUUUGGACCUUCUAAGCUAGCUGGUGUGGGGGUCAAGUGCAUGGUCUUUGGAGCUAGACAGCCUUUCCACUUAGGACAUAUGUGACCUUCAACAAGUUUCUAAACCUCUCUGGGUUUCAGUUUUGCCAUCUGUAGAAUGGAGCUGGUAUCUCCCUUACAGGAUUAAAGGAAAUAAUGUGUGUCCCAUGCUCAGCCCUGCACCUGCCACAGUAAGCACCUGGUGAGUGGGAGUAUCUGAUCUUGUUAUUGAGGAUGCAGAGGCCGACUCCCCUGUUCUCUGCUUCCUUCGCCCUCCCCUUGCCAACCUGCUUCAACACAGGAUCCUGCAGGACCUCCUCCUUUGCCAUAUGCUCCUUCAGCAGUUCUGUCUGCACAAUCCCCGGCCACAGAGACACACAGCUGACCCCAUGGCGCCGCAGCUCGUGGGCACAGUCAGCAGCCAGCUUGUCACACUGUGGAGAGGCGGAAGGCAGGGUAAGAGCCACCUAGCCAUGUCACUUUCCUGCCCUGCCCUCUCUGCUUCUACUGUGAAUGCUCCACCCACCCUGUCCUUCCCAGGAGCCCCAAGGUCUCAGCUGCCCACGCUCCCCAGUGUGAUGCCUACUCUAGCCAACCAAGAGGAGCACAAGCAAAGGAACUGUCCAUGGAUGAGGCAGAGGAGGAGCUGAGAGGAGCCAGCCUUACCAUUCUGACCACUGGGGAUUGUACCUCCUGAGCUAUAGUGUCUCGCUGUGUCGUCUAGACUGGAGUGCAGUGGUGUGA
rnacentral:lncRNA from 1 species